rnacentral:sRNA from 1 species
GGGAGGGAAGGGGGAGGCGGGGCGAGGACGGUGACCGGAGUCUCCUCAGCGGCGGCUUUUCUGCUUGGCAGCCUCAGAGGCUGGCGCCAAAACCGGACUCCGCCCACUUCCUCGCCCCUGCGGUGCGAGGGUGCGGAAUCCUCCAGACGCUGGGGGAGGGGGAGUUGGGGGCUUAAAAACUAGUACCCCUUUGGGACCACUUUCAGCAGAGAACUCUCCUGUACACCAGGGGUCAGCUCCACAGACGCGGGCCAGGGUUGGGUCAUUGCGGCGUGAACAAUAAUUUGAUUCGGAUGUUUCCGGAAGGGGCCGAGUCGGGGCACGGAAAACGAAAAGGGAAGGCUACUAAGAUUUUUCUGGCGGGGGUUAUCAUAGGCGUAACUGUAGGGACCACCUCCCGGGUUGAGGGGGCUGGAUCUCGGGCUGCGGAUUAAGCUCCUCCCGUCGGCGUUAAUUUCAAACUGCGCGACCGUUUCUCACCUGCCUUGCGCCAAGGCGGGGGGCGGGACCCUAUUCCGAGAGGUAGUAACACGCAGGACUCGAGCCUUCCGCAAUUCACUGAGCGCAUUUACGGAAGUAACGUCGGGUACUGUCGCUGGCCGCAAGGGUGGGAGGAGUACGUAUUUGGCGUAAGGUGGGGCGUAGAGCCUUCCCGCCAUUGGCGGCGGUUAGGGCGUUUACGCGACGGCCUGACGUAGAGGAAGACGCGUUAGUGGGGGGGAAGGUUCUAGAAAAGCGGCGGCAGCGGCUCUAGCGGCAGUAGCAGCGGCGCCGGGUCCCGUGCGGAGGUGCUCCUCGCAGUGUUGUUUCUCGAGCAGCGGCAGUUCUCACUACAGCGCCAGGACGAGUCCGGUUCGUGUUCGUCCGCGGAGAUCUCUCUCAUCUCGCUCGGCUGCGGGAAAUCGGGCUGAAGCGACUGAGUCCGCGAUGGAGGUAACGGGUUUGAAAUCAAUGAGUUAUUGGAAAGGGCAUGGCGAGGCCGUUGGCGUCUCAGUGGAAGUCGGCCAGCCGCCUCCGUGGGAGAGAGGCAGGAAAUCGGACCGCUUCAGUAGCAGUGGGGCUUGAGGUUUAUGAACGGGGUCUUGACCGGAGGCCUGAGCGUACAAACAGCUUCCCCACCCUCAGCCUCCCGGCGCCAUUUCCCUUCGCUGGGGGUGGGGGAUGGGGAGCUUUCACAUGGCGGACGCUGCCCCGCUGGAGUGAAAGUGGGGCGCGGAGGCGGGAAUUCUUAUUCCCUUUUUAAAGCACGCUGCUUCGGGGGCCACGGCGUCUCCUCGGCGAGCGUUUCGGCGGGCAGCGGGUCCUCGUGAGCGAGGCUGCGGAGCUUCCCCUCCCCCUCUCUCCCGGGAACCGGAUUUGGCGGCCGCCAUUUUCAUGGCUCGCCUUCCUCUCAGCGUUUUCCUUAUAACUCUCUCUAUUUUCCUAGUGUGCUUUCUGUGUCAAGGCGUAGAAGUGGUUAACUAUUUUUCUUUCUUCUCGGGCUGUUUUCAUAUCGUUUCGAGGUGGAUUUGGAGUGUUCUGUGAGCUUGGAUCUUUAGAGUCCUGCGCACCUCAUUAAAGGCGCUCAGCUUUCCCCUCGAUGAAAUGGCGCCAUUGCGUUCGGAAGCCACACCGAAGAGCGGGGCGGGGGGGUGCUCCGGGUUUACGGGCCCGGUUUCAGAGAAGAUAUCACCACCCAGGGCGUCGGGCCGGGUUCAAUGCGAGCCAUAGGACAAAGAAACCAUUUUAUAUUUUUUGUGUCUUUUUUUUCCCUUUGAGUAAUGCUUUUAUCUGGGUCUGCAGUCACUAAAACGGCAGAUGAACCGCAGCAAAAUAAAUUGGAAGCCAUCGGCCACGAGGGGCAGGGACGAAGGUGGUUUUCUGGGCGGGGGAGGGAUAUUCGCGUCAGAAUCCUUUACUGUUCUAAAGGAUUCCGUUUAAGUUGUAGAGCUGACUCAUUUUAAGUAAUGUUGUUACUGAGAAGUUUAAUCCUUACGGGACAGAUCCAUGGACCUUAAUAGAUGAUUAGUUAGAAAUUACGAGGAAAGUGAAAUAACGAUUUUGUUCUUAGUUGCACUUCGAUUAAAACAUGGCUUCAGAGGCUCCUUCCUGUAAUGCGUAUGGAUUGAUGUGCAAAAUUGUGGGCCUGGGCCGCUCUGUAUUUGAACUUUGUUACUUUUCUCAUUUUGUUUGCAAUCUUGGUUGAACAUUACAUUGGUAAGCAUAAGGUCUCAAGCGAAGGGGGUCUACCUGGUUAUUUUCUUUGACCCUAAGCACGUUUAUAAAAUAACAUUGUUUAAAAUCGAUAGUGGACAUCGGGUAAGUUUGGAAAAAUUGUGAGGUAAGUAAUGAGUUUUUGCUUUUUGUUAGUGAUUUGUAAGACUUGUUAUAAAUGUACAUUAUCCGUAAUUUCAGUUUAGAGACACCUAUGUGCUGACGACAAUUAAGAAUAAAAAUUAGCUGAAAAAAUGAAAAUAACAUCUUGACAAGUAACCAUUUCAAAAGACUGCUUUGUGUCUCAUAGGAGCUAGUUUGAUCAUUUCAGUUAAUUUUUUUUUUUUUUAAUCUUUACGAGUCCUGAAAACUACAGGAAAAAAAGUCUGAACUGGCUUUUUACCACUAUUUUUUAGCAGUUGGGAGCAUGCGAAUGGAGGGAGAGCUCCGUAGAACUGGGAUGAGAGCAGCAAUUCUGCUUGCUAGGAACAAAAAAUAAUUCUUGAUUGAAAAUUACGUGUGACUUUUUAGUUUGCAUUAUGCAUUUGUAGCAGUUGGUCCUGGAUAUCACUUCCUCUUGUUUGAGGUUUUUUAGCCUAGUUAACUUUUAAGACAGGUUUAAAACAUUGUUAAGUGCCCAAAAUACAGCUGUGUAGUACAGCAUAGGAAGAUUUCAGCUCUGAGGUUUUUCCUAUUAACUUGGAAAAUUGUUUUGUGCCUGUCUCUUGCCACAUGGCCAAUCAAGUUAAGUAAGCUUCAGCUUUCAGUAAUUGUUAUCUUAGACAUUAUAACACGUGAAUGUAUUUUAUUGUACAUAUGGUUAAGUAAUUCAUAUUCUGUAUUGUCGUAUAUCAAAUAUAGGCAUGUCCACCAAAAAUCAGUUAAACUUUUUAAGCUUCGAGUGCUGCUGGUCAUAAAAACUAAUUUGUCCUGGUUAUAAGAGUAAUUUUUAAGGUUAUUUCUAAUGCAUAUCUUUAAAUAUUUUCGUAACUGAGAAUCAUAUGGAGUAACUUAGUAUUUGUUUUAAAAAGUUUUUUUUUUUUUGGCUGAGAUACUUAGAAUCACCACCAGAGGGGGAAGUUAAGGGAAAAUAAAUGAUACUUUUCAGAUACUGAAUCGUGAAAUAAAAACUUUGGGACAUAAGCAACGAACCAAGAGUUAUUUUCUGAUCUUUAAAAAUAGAAAUCUGCGUUUUUAGGUUAUAGGGUUGAAAUUUUUGGUAAAGAUUCUUUAAUAAUCCUUUGAUAACCACGGUCUACAUUUGUUCAUUUUUCCUUAGUUUUUUUUUUUUAAUUAAGUAAUAAUUUGUUUAAGAUAAUUUAAUGUUGAGUAAAUUUAGAUCAAGCAUUAAUGACUUUGAAACUUGUGUAGAUCAGCUGAGGCAAUUUUUUGGUGUAACACAACUAAUAUGCAGUUUAACAUAUGGUUUAAAUUUGAUGUAAGUUUUUUUUUUCCCCCCCCAGAAAACUUUAGAAACUGUUCCUUUGGAGAGGAAAAAGGUACUCUGCCAGCAGGUCACCUCAUAUUUAAGAAUUUAAUUUCCUGCAUACAAAGAGGAAAAUGUAAAUAAAAAUUGAAAUGGUAUUUUCCUUUGCAGAGAGAAAAGGAACAGUUCCGUAAGCUCUUUAUUGGUGGCUUAAGCUUUGAAACCACAGAAGAAAGUUUGAGGAACUACUACGAACAAUGGGGAAAGCUUACAGACUGUGUGGUAAUGAGGGAUCCUGCAAGCAAAAGAUCAAGAGGAUUUGGUUUUGUAACUUUCUCAUCCAUGGCUGAGGUUGAUGCUGCCAUGGCUGCAAGACCUCAUUCAAUUGAUGGGAGAGUAGUUGAGCCAAAACGUGCUGUAGCAAGAGAGGAAUCUGGAAAACCAGGGGCUCAUGUAACUGUGAAGAAGCUGUUUGUUGGCGGAAUUAAAGAAGAUACUGAGGAACAUCACCUUAGAGAUUACUUUGAGGAAUAUGGAAAAAUUGAUACCAUUGAGAUAAUUACUGAUAGGCAGUCUGGAAAGAAAAGAGGCUUUGGCUUUGUUACUUUUGAUGACCAUGAUCCUGUGGAUAAAAUCGUAUUGCAGAAAUACCAUACCAUCAAUGGUCAUAACGCAGAAGUAAGAAAGGCUUUGUCUAGACAAGAAAUGCAGGAAGUUCAGAGUUCUAGGAGUGGAAGAGGAGGUAAUUUUAAUUCUGUUUCUUCUUUAUUUUUGUUCAUAUAUAAGGGCUUGUUUCUAACUGGGGCAUUUAUUGUAGGCAACUUCGGCUUUGGGGAUUCGCGUGGUGGCGGUGGAAAUUUCGGACCAGGACCAGGAAGUAACUUUAGAGGAGGAUCUGAUGGAUAUGGCAGUGGACGUGGAUUUGGGGAUGGCUAUAAUGGGUAUGGAGGAGGACCUGGAGGUGGCAAUUUUGGAGGUAGCCCCGGUUAUGGAGGAGGAAGAGGAGGAUAUGGUGGUGGAGGACCUGGAUAUGGCAACCAGGGUGGGGGCUACGGAGGUGGUUAUGACAACUAUGGAGGAGGAAAUUAUGGAAGUGGAAAUUACAAUGAUUUUGGAAAUUAUAACCAGCAACCUUCUAACUACGGUCCAAUGAAGAGUGGAAACUUUGGUGGUAGCAGGAACAUGGGGGGACCAUAUGGUGGAGGAAACUAUGGUCCAGGAGGCAGUGGAGGAAGUGGGGGUUAUGGUGGGAGGAGCCGAUACUGAGCUUCUUCCUAUUUGCCAUGGGCUUCACUGUAUAAAUAGGAGAGGAUGAGAGCCCAGAGGUAACAGAACAGCUUCAGGUUAUCGAAAUAACAAUGUUAAGGAAACUCUUAUCUCAGUCAUGCAUAAAUAUGCAGUGAUAUGGCAGAAGACACCAGAGCAGAUGCAGAGAGCCAUUUUGUGAAUGGAUUGGAUUAUUUAAUAACAUUACCUUACUGUGGAGGAAGGAUUGUAAAAAAAAAAUGCCUUUGAGACAGUUUCUUAGCUUUUUAAUUGUUGUUUCUUUCUAGUGGUCUUUGUAAGAGUGUAGAAGCAUUCCUUCUUUGAUAAUGUUAAAUUUGUAAGUUUCAGGUGACAUGUGAAACCUUUUUUAAGAUUUUUCUCAAAGUUUUGAAAAGCUAUUAGCCAGGAUCAUGGUGUAAUAAGACAUAACGUUUUUCCUUUAAAAAAUUUAAGUGCGUGUGUAGAGUUAAGAAGCUGUUGUACAUUUAUGAUUUAAUAAAAUAAUUCUAAA